CCUACGGGGGGCAGCAGUGGGGAAUAUUGGGCAAUGGAGGCAACUCUGACCCAGCAACGCCGCGUGAAUGAUGAAGGCCUUCGGGUUGUAAAGUUCUUUUCUACGGGAAGAAGAUAGUGACGGUACCUUAGGAAUAAGCCUCGGCUAACUACGUGCCAGCAGCCGCGGUAAUACGUGGGAGGCAAGCGUUAUCCGGAAUGACUGGGCGUAAAGGGUGCGUAGGUGGUUUGACAAGGUAGUGGCGCAACUCCGGGGUUCAACUUCGGAACUACCACUAAAACUGGUGGACUUGAGUGCAGGAGGGGCAAGCGGAAUGCGUAGUGUAGCGGUGGAAUGCGUAGAUAUUAGGAGGAACACCAGUGGCGAAGGCGGAUUGCUAGACCGUAACUGACACUGAGGCACGAAAGCGUGGGGAGCAAACAGGAUUAGAUACCCGGGUAGUC
rnacentral:rRNA from 1 species